UCUGCUUGUUUAACUUUUCUUUAACUUUUGUACUAUAAAUUUAACUUUUCUUUUGCAGAUUAAAUACACAUUGUUUGCAGUAACUUUGGAUUUUUUCUGAAAGUUGUAAACUUAGCUUGAGCAAAGUUUUUGGUCCCUCAGCUCAACAAAGAAAUCUUUAUGAUUAAGCAGUGAUUCCAAUAGUACAUGAAGUUUUAGAAGGCUUCAAUUGUACCAAGAGGAGCGAGCUAGGGACCAAGAGGCACGAGCUACGCAAGAGGCAUGAGGACAUCUUCCGUUAGUUCUAAUUAUAUUAUGCUAUACUUUUUGUAUUGUUAUAAAACAUCUUGAGUUAUUGUAUGUGUUGCAAACAAUUAUUGUAUACUUGUAUGGAAGGAGUUUGAAUUGGAUACUUGUUUUAUUUUUUACUUA